rnacentral:lncRNA from 1 species
CCGAAUUCUCAAAGCUAGAGUUCCCCCAAAUGGCACAACACUUCCUCUCAAUCGAACUCCUUGAUUUUCUCCUAGUAUCUCUCCGCUUAUCCCUUAUUGAAUUACUCCACUGAUUUCUCCUCAACUCCCCCAACAACCCCAUUCAAAUUCUAUUCAAACUCCGCUUAGCUGUGUUUCAGUCCAACUCUACUACCUACAUAGCUCAAGCAGCAAAAUAAAUACUUCAUUGCACAACCUAGGACUUGAACCUUAGGCCUCACAGUUACACAAC